rnacentral:rRNA from 1 species
UGGGGAAUUUUGGACAAUGGGCGAAAGCCUGAUCCAGCAAUGCCGCGUGUGUGAAGAAGGCCUUCGGGUUGUAAAGCACUUUUGUCCGGAAAGAAAUCCUUGGCUCUAAUACAGUCGGGGGAUGACGGUACCGGAAGAAUAAGCACCGGCUAACUACGUGCCAGCAGCCGCGGUAAUACGUAGGGUGCAAGCGUUAAUCGGAAUUACUGGGCGUAAAGCGUGCGCAGGCGGUUUGCUAAGACCGAUGUGAAAUCCCCGGGCUCAACCUGGGAACUGCAUUGGUGACUGGCAGGCUAGAGUAUGGCAGGAGGGGGGUAGAAUUCCACGUGUAGCAGUGAAAUGCGUAGAGAUGUGGAGGAAUACCGAUGGCGAAGGCAGCCCCCUGGGCCAAUACUGACGCUCAUGCACGAAAGCGUGGGGAGCAAACAGGAUUAGAUACCCUGGUAGUCCACGCCCUAAACGAUGUCAACUAGUUGUUGGGGAUUCAUUUCCUUAGUAACGUAGCUAACGCGUGAAGUUGACCGCCUGGGGAGUACGGUCGCAAGAUUAAAACUCAAAUGAAUUGACGGGGUCAUAGCUG